AAGGAAUUGCAUAUGUUCUCUAUCCAUUACCAGAAUCUGCUGCUAGGGCAUUAGCAGAGCUGGACAGUUCAAUCUUUCAAGGACGAUUACUUCAUGUUAUGCCAGCGAAGCAGAAAAUUUCUCCAGAGAAGGCAGAGACAAUUGCUAAUACCAAGCAAUCAUCAAACACAUUUAAGCAGAAGAGACAAGAGGAAAAGAAGGCAUCUGAAGCUAGUGGAAAUACACAAUCUUGGAAUACUCUGUUUAUGCGGCCAGACACUGUUGUUGAAAAUAUUGCAAGAAAAUUUGGUGUGAGUAAAAGUGAUCUUCUUGAUAGAGAAGCUGAUGAUCUUGCUGUACGUAUAGCAUUGGGCGAGACUCAAGUGAUAGCGGAGACAAAAAAGGCUCUUGCAAAAGCUGGAGUUAAUAUUGUUUCAUUGGAAGAAUAUGCUGCUGGAAACACCGAUGGGGCGAAACGAAGCAAUCACGUUAUUUUAGUUAAGAACUUGCCUUAUGGUUCAUCAGAAGGUGAACUUGCAAAUAUGUUUGGGAAGUUUGGGAGCCUGGAUAAGAUUGUUCUUCCUCCUACCAAAACCUUAGCUUUGGUUGUCUUCCUAGAACCGGCAGAAGCACGUUCAGCUUUCCGGGGUCUAGCAUACAAACGUUACAAGGACACUCCCCUUUAUUUGGAGUGGGCUCCUGGAAAUAUUCUUGAUCAAACAAGUGAUUCAAAAAAUGCUCUUGUUGUUGGUGAAGAUGAUGCAAAGAGAGCGCUGCUAGAGCAACAAGUGGAAGGAGUAACGGA
rnacentral:misc_RNA from 1 species